AGAGUUUGAUCAUGGCUCAGGAUGAACGCUGGCGGUAUGCUUAACACAUGCAAGUCGAACGGUCUCUUCGGAGAUAGUGGCGGACGGGUGAGUAACGCGUGAGAACAUGCCUAUCGAUUGGGGACAACAGUUGGAAACGACUGCUAAUACCGAAUGUGCCUUAGGGUGAAAGAUUUAUCGUCGAUAGAUUGGCUCGCGUCAGAUUAGCUAGUUGGUGAGGUAAAGGCUCACCAAGGCGACGAUCUGUAACUGGUCUGAGAGGAUGACCAGUCACACUGGAACUGAGACACGGUCCAGACUCCUACGGGAGGCAGCAGUGGGGAAUUUUCCGCAAUGGGCGAAAGCCUGACGGAGCAAUACCGCGUGUGGGAGGACGCUUUUUGGAGUGUAAACCACUUUUAUUAGGGAAGAAGAACUGACGGUACCUAAUGAAUCAGCAUCGGCUAACUCCGUGCCAGCAGCCGCGGUAAUACGGGGGAUGCAAGCGUUAUCCGGAAUUAUUGGGCGUAAAGCGUCCGUAGGUGGCUUAUCAAGUCUGUUGUCAAAGCGUGCGGCUCAACCGCAUACGGGCGAUGGAAACUGAUGAGCUAGAGUGCGAUAGGGGUCAGGGGAAUUCCCGGUGUAGCGGUGAAAUGCGUAGAUAUCGGGAAGAACACCAGUGGCGAAAGCGCCUGACUGGGUCUGCACUGACACUGAGGGACGAAAGCUAGGGGAGCGAAAGGGAUUAGAUACCCCUGUAGUCCUAGCUGUAAACGAUGGCAACUAGGUGUGGUUCGUAUCGACCCGAGCCGUGCCGUAGCCAACGCGUUAAGUUGUCCGCCUGGGGAGUACGCACGCAAGUGUGAAACUCAAAGGAAUUGACGGGGGCCCGCACAAGCGGUGGAGUAUGUGGUUUAAUUCGAUGCAACGCGAAGAACCUUACCAAGGCUUGACAUCCUCGGAACCCUGAUGAAAGUUAGGGGUGCCUUCGGGAGCCGAGAGACAGGUGGUGCAUGGCUGUCGUCAGCUCGUGUCGUGAGAUGUUGGGUUAAGUCCCGCAACGAGCGCAACCCACGUUUUUAGUUGCCAGCAUUCAGUUGGGCACUCUAGAGAGACUGCCGGUGACAAACCGGAGGAAGGUGUGGAUGACGUCAAGUCAGCAUGCCCCAUACGCCUUGGGCUACACACGUACUACAAUGCUUCGGACAAAGGGCAGCCAGACCGCGAGGUUGAGCCAAUCCCAUAAACCGAGGCACAGUUCAGAUUGCAGGCUGCAACUCGCCUGCAUGAAGGCGGAAUCGCUAGUAAUCGCAGGUCAGCAUACUGCGGUGAAUACGUUCCCGGGCCUUGUACACACCGCCCGUCACACCAUGGGAGUUGGUCAUGCCCGAAGUCGUUACUCCAACCGUUCGCGGAGGAGGACGCCGAAGGUGGGGCUGAUGACUGGGGUGAAGUCGUAACAAGGUAGCCGUACCGGAAGGUGUGGCUGGAUCACCUCCUUUUAGGGAGACCUACCCCCUGAUUGUUGACUGUAGAGUCGCGAUUAGGUUGGUCAUCUCAGGUCGUUCGAGGGUUUUGUGUUGGUUUCUAAACUAGGUUGGUUCGGUGGAAGGGCUAUUAGCUCAGGUGGUUAGAGCGCACCCCUGAUAAGGGUGAGGUCCCUGGUUCGAGUCCAGGAUGGCCCACCUUCAGCGUUCGAGUUGGUUUGAAUCAGAAUAUCUGAAUCAGACUAACGAAAGCGAGAAGGAAUUGGGGGUUUAGCUCAGUUGGUAGAGCGCCUGCUUUGCAAGCAGGAUGUCAGCGGUUCGAGUCCGCUAACCUCCACUGAGUGGUUAGUCCACUCAAGAAGAGAGUCCAAGUCAGCAACUCGACUAAUGAGAAAUUAGGGAGCCUGCUGAGAUUGAACUCAGCAACAAGAAAGAACCAUGAAAACUGCAUAGGAAUCAGAUUGUCAGGUAGAGACAUAGACAACCAAAGUUUGUUGGACUACAAAGUGGUCAAGCUAACAAGGGCGGAUGGUGGAUACCUAGGCACACAGAGGCGAGG
rnacentral:rRNA from 1 species